rnacentral:tRNA from 1 species
GAAUUAGAAGCAAUAAUGUGAUUAGUUUCGACCUAAUUUUUGGUAUUAAUUUACCCUAAUUCU